rnacentral:rRNA from 1 species
AUUGAACGCUGGCGGCAGGCCUAACACAUGCAAGUCGAGCGAGCGGCGGACGGGUGAGUAAUGUAUGGGGAUCUGCCCGAUAGAGGGGGAUAACUACUGGAACCGUGGCUAAAUCCGCAUACUAUCGGAUUACCCCCUUUGGGAUUAGCUAGUAGGUGGGGUAAAGGCUCACCUAGGCGACGAGCUCUAGCUGGUCUGAGAGGAUGAUCAGCCACACUGGGACUGAGACACGGCCCAGACUCCUACGGGAGGCAGCAGUGGGGAAUAUUGCACAAUGGGCGCAAGCCUGAUGCAGCCAUGCCGCGUGUAUGAAGAAGGCCUUAGGGUUGUAAAGUACUUUCAGCGGGGAGGCGUUACCCGCAGAAGAAGCACCGGCUAACUCCGUGCCAGCCGCCGCGGUAAUAC